CCUUAACCUGCUAAAUAGUUGCGUCCACUUUGGUGGUCGUCCAGCUUCUUAGAGGGACUAUGUGCGUUUAGCGCAUGGAAGUUUGAGGCAAUAACAGGUCUGUGAUGCCCUUAGAUGUUCUGGGCCGCACGCGCGCUACACUGACAGAGGCAACGAGUAUUCAGCUUUGCCGGAAGGCAUGGCCAAUCUUUUGAAACUCUGUCGUGCUGGGGAUAGUCCCUUGCAAUUAUUGGACUUCAACGAGGAAUUCCUAGUAAGCGCAUGUCAUCAGCAUGCGUUGAUUACGUCCCUGCCCUUUGUACACACCGCCCGUCGCUACUACCGAUUGAAUGGCUUAGUGAGACCUCCGGAUCGGCGCCCGCACUGCGGAAACGCGGAGCAGGUGCUGAGAAGCUGGUCAAACUUGGUCAUUUAGAGGAAGUAAAAGUCG
rnacentral:rRNA from 1 species